rnacentral:rRNA from 1 species
CAGCAGCCGCGGUAAUACGUAGGGUGCAAGCGUUAAUCGGAAUUACUGGGCGUAAAGCGUGCGCAGGCGGUUAUAUAAGACAGAUUUGAAAUCCCCGGGCUCAACCUGGGAACUGCAUUUGUGACUGUAUAGCUAGAGUACGGCAGAGGGGGAUGGAAUUCCGCGUGUAGCAGUGAAAUUCGUAGAUAUGCGGAGGAACACCGAUGGCGAAGGCAAUCCCCUGGGCCUGUACUGACGCUCAUGCACGAAAGCGUGUGGAGCAAACAGGAUUAGAUACCCCCGUAGUCCCUGUCUCUUAUAC